UACGUAGGGGGCUAGCGUUGUCCGGAUUUAUUGGGCGUAAAGAGCGUGUAGGCGGCCAUGUAGGUCCGGUGUGAAAACUCGAGGCUUAACCUCGAGAUGUCAUCGGAAACCAUUUGGCUAGAGUCCGGAAGAGGAGAGUGGAAUUCCUGGUGUAGCGGUGAAAUGCGCAGAUAUCAGGAAGAACACCAAUGGCGAAGGCAGCUCUCUGGGACGGUACUGACGCUGAGACGCGAAAGCGUGGGGAGCGAACAGG
rnacentral:rRNA from 1 species